AUUGAACGCUGGCGGCAGGCCUAACACAUGCAAGUCGAACGAGUGGCGGACGGGUGAGUAAUGUCUGGGAAACUGCCUGAUGGAGGGGGAUAACUACUGGAAACGGUAGCUAAUACCGCAUACCAUCGGAUGUGCCUAUGUCGGAUUGGCUAGUUGGUGGGGUAGAGGCCUACAAAGGCGACGAUCCGUAACUGGUCUGAGAGGAUGAUCAGUAAAACUGGACAUGAGACACGGUCCAGACGCCUACGGGAGGCAGCAGUGGGGAAUAUUGGACAAUGGGCGAAAGCCUGAUGCAGCCAUGCCGCGUGUGUGAAGAAGGUCUUCGGAUUGUAAAGCACUUUAAGUUGGGAGGCGUUACCAACAGAAUAAGCACCGGCUAACUUCGUGCCAGCCGCCGCGGUAAUUC
rnacentral:rRNA from 1 species